rnacentral:sRNA from 2 species
UUGAGUGGAAAGCCGAGUCCUGCCGCCGCUCAGGGUCCCGCUAGAUGACGACGGCAGGGACGGGGGAACCACAGAUUGUGGGCACAGCAACCAGGUGCCCUUGGGGUGAAGUCCCGGGAGCGCAGCAGCGCGAACGGGGCCGGGCUAUCUCCAGCUCGAACCCGACAGCUCACCUCGUAGGCUCAACGGAGAGGUACC